rnacentral:lncRNA from 1 species
GGGCAUGGUGGAUUUGAAGUUGGAGGAGCCCACAAUGUGGUAGGGUGCUGCUUUUGUUGAGGAUGGUCACCCUUCCAUCUUAUGGCAAAUUUUGGAGGCAAGGAUGGUCCCUCUUGAUGCGUAGGUGACCUCAUUCUCUUUUUUACUGGCCGAUCACUUGUAACGGCCUUUUGUUUGGAAUACUUGGCUAAGAGCAUGUCAAAUGUGACUUUUUCUUUGGGACCACUUCCAUGACUAUUAGC